AUACGGAGGGUGCAAGCGUUGUUCGGAAUUACUGGGCGUAAAGCGCGCGUAGGCGGUCUGUUAUGUCAGAUGUGAAAGUCCUCGGCUCAACCGGGGAAGUGCAUUUGAAACUGGCAGACUUGAGUACUGGAGGGGGUGGUGGAAUUCCCGGUGUAGAGGUGAAAUUCGUAGAUAUCGGGAGGAAUACCGGUGGCGAAGGCGACCACCUGGCCAGAUACUGACGCUGAGGUGCGAAAGCGUGGGGAGCAAACAGGAUUAGAAACCCUGGUAGUCC
rnacentral:rRNA from 1 species